CCUACGGGUGGCAGCAGUGAGGAAUAUUGGUCAAUGGCCGGAAGGCUGAACCAGCCAAGCCGCGUGAAGGACGAAGGUGCCAAGCAUUGUAAACUUCUUUUGUCAAGGGACAAAAUCAGGCUCGAGAGCCUGACCGAGGGUACUUGAAGAAAAAGCAUCGGCUAACUCCGUGCCAGCAGCCGCGGUAAUACGGAGGAUGCGAGCGUUAUCCGGAUUUAUGGGGUUUAAAGGGUGCGUAGGCGGAUUGUUAAGUCAGCGGUAAAAGCCCGGGGCUCAACCCCGGCCAGCCGUUGAAACUGGUUGUCUUGAGAUGUCGAGAGGUAUGCGGAAUGCGCAGUGUAGCGGUGAAAUGCUUAGAUAUUGCGCAGAACUCCGAUUGCGAAGGCAGCAUACCGGCGGCGAUCUGACGCUGAGGCACGAAAGCGUGGGUAUCGAACAGGAUUAGAUACCCUUGUAGUC
rnacentral:rRNA from 1 species